rnacentral:rRNA from 1 species
GACAGAGGCCUCGAGCGUUAGGCGGAAUCACUGGGCUUAAAGCGUGUGUAGGCGGAUCGUUAAGUACCUUGUGAAAUCCCACGGCUCAACCGUGGAACGGCUGGGUAUACUGGCGGUCUUGGGCCACCUAGGGGCGAGCGGAACAAACGGUGGAGCGGUGAAAUGCGUAGAUAUCGUUUGGAACGCCGAUGGUGAAAACAGCUCGCUGGGGGUGUGCCGACGCUGAGACACGAAAGCCAGGGGAGCAAACGGG